UUUCCGUAGGUGAACCUGCGGAAGGAUCAUUAACGAGUUAGGGUCUUCCAGGCCCGACCUCCCAACCCUAUGUUUAUUGAACCUCUGUUGCUUCGGCGGACCCGUCUCACGACCGCCGGAGGACCGCCGCGAGGCGUCCUCUGGCCAGCGUCCGCCGAUGGCCAACCACUUAAACUCUGAAUGAAUCGUGUCAUUAUGUCUAAGUCCAUGAUUAAAUUAAAGCAAAACUUUCAACAACGGAUCUCUUGGUUCUG
rnacentral:misc_RNA from 1 species